CACGUAGUUAGCCGGGGCUUCUUGGUCAGGUACCGUCAUUUCUUUCUUCCCUGCUGAUAGAGCUUUACAUACCGAGAUACUUCUCCACUCACGCGGCGUCGCUGGAUCAGGGUUCCCCCCAUUGUCCAAUAUUCCCCACUGCUGCCUCCCGUAGGAGUUUGGGCCGUGUCUCAGUCCCAAUGUGGCCGUCCACCCUCUCAGGCCGGCUACUGAUCGUCGCCUUGGUGGGCCCGUUACCCCGCCAACAAGCUAAUCAGACGCGGGUCCAUCAUAUACCACCGGAGUUUUUCACACUGAGCCAUGCAGCUCCGUGCGCUUAUGCGGUAUUAGCACCUAUUUCUAAGUGUUAUCCCCCUGUAUAUGGCAGGUUACCCACGCGUUACUCACCCGUCCGCCACUAGCCGCCAACAUUCCACUCUUAGCAAGCUAAUCGCUUACAAAAAUGGUACGGUCCCCGUUCGACUUCGCAUGUGUUAGCACGCCGCC
rnacentral:rRNA from 1 species